rnacentral:lncRNA from 1 species
UUGAUAAAAACAAAGACUAAAUGAGUUUAUGAAGGUACUCACAUUUUGAUGCAAAGCUUUGUAAACCAAGCUAUAAAAUGGCCUAUGAACUUUGUAAAACAUGUGAAUUCUAAAAAAGAUGAACUUUUUUGAUGAAAAUAAAGAUCCAUCCAUGCAACCAUUAAGAAUCACUACUUAUCUGCAUUGAAAAUUCUUAAUAUAUGGAUAAUAUUUUAAAAAAAUAAAAAAAAUCAUCGAAAAUAUAUUAAAAUCAUUUUUUGCUUAUAUGAAAUGAAGAUUCAAGUUUAAUUGAAGUAUAAAGUUUUUUCUUACUAAACUAUACUCAUUUAAUUAUGUUACAAUAUAUUUUUAGAUAUUUUAGGAUAGAAUUGAAAAUUCUCUAAAUAUAAAAAAUUAUA